GCAUUCCCCAAAUGGAUUUGACUGUUUUCCAUCCUCAGAUGAUUCAUGAAGUAGUCCAGAAGAAACAUCGUCAUCAAGGUCGCAAACCCCACCUGAAGAAUCUUCAAUACCUAACUCAGUUGGUGUAAUAUCUAGGACAUCAUCAGCGCUACAAGAUUGAAGGUUAUUCAUGACUACAGGUCUAUCUUCAGUUUGACUGUUGCCAAGACAACUGCCCCGAAGAGGCUCAUCUGUUACCAGUGAUUGACGAACCACCAAGGUUUUAACUUCAGCGCUCAGGUCACCAAAAUCUCUAGAUCUAAUAUCUUCAAUAUUUGCACUGAAGUCACCUACAUCUGGAGCAUGUCUAGUGCUCACAGUUACAUUUUCAUGUUCUUCCCCUUUUUCUGCUUGAACUACAUCUGGAAGCUUUUGUAAAGCUACAGAGAAUAAAUCUGUGGAUGUCCCUUCACUUUCAGUACACCCUUUAUCACGCUUCUCAAACCCGCUGAA